GAUGAACGCUAGCGGGAGGCUUAACACAUGCAAGUCGAGGGGUAUUGUAGCAAUACAUUAGACCGGCGCACGGGUGAGUAACGCGUAUGCAACCUGCCGUUAGCCGGGGGAUAGCCCGUCGAAAGGCGGAUUAAUACCCCAUAAUAUUGGGAUUCUGCAUGGGAUUUCAAUUAAAGCUGAGGUGGUUAACGAUGGGCAUGCGUGACAUUAGCUAGUUGGUAGGGUAACGGCCUACCAAGGCUACGAGGUCUAGGGGUUCUGAGAGGAAGGUCCCCCACACUGGUACGGACACACGGACCAGACUCCUACGGGAGGCAGCAGUGAGGAAUAUUGGUCAAUGUGCGAGAGCCUGAACCAGCCAUCCCGCGUGCAGGAAGACGGCCCUAUGGGUUGUAAACUGCUUUGGCGCAUGAAGAAUGUUACCGACGUGUCGGUAAGUGACGGUAAUGCGUGAAUAAGCAUCGGCUAACUCCGUGCCAGCAGCCGCGGUAAAAC
rnacentral:rRNA from 1 species